AAAAUUCUAAAUGUAAAAAACUAUUUUGUUUUAGAAUUCAAUCAUUUUAAUGUAAUAAUUAUCCAUCAUUUAAGAAAUAAUGUAAAAAUCACUUAAUGCAUUUUAAUACAAUAUAACUGUACGUAACGGCCAAAAAGUUCGGGCACCUCGGCAAACACCUUACCACUGCAGGCAUUGAACAAAAACGAUGAAAUUAAUCAAGAAUCACAAACGUUUACCCCCAUCGACCCUAAUCUAAGAAUCACUCUAGCUUACCAGACAAUAAUCGGAUUCAGAUCAUAAACAAAAAAACGCACUGUCAUCCUGCACUUAACAGUCACUUGCCGCUCAUUUCGAUAAGAUUCUGUGGAAUUCGAAAGCGCGGGAACCUUCGAGUUCUUUGCAUUCUAACAUUCGGAAAGCCCUUAAACGAACCUAACACUGAACCCAGCUGUGAUGGGUCGCUGACACAUACACCUAUAGAUCAAUACGGUACAGUUAGUCAGGCACUUGACUUUCUCCAACGAAUGCGAUCAAACCAGACAGACUGCAGCUGUCACCAGCCAGCCGUCAUGUGGGAACCGGGAAGGCCCCUCCUUUCUGCAACUUGUCGUCUCCGCUCGCUCCGAGCUCACGCUCGUGGCUCUAAGCGAUACAGCCCCAGUCAUGCGGAGUCAAAGCGAAAGCGAGGAGAUCCAGCGCUGACGGAAGUUUUAAUCCAAUGGACUACGAGCGUUGUAAUGACUGAAAGACGAGCACGGCGUUCGAGUCAAUAAAGCGACUGAUUCGCGUGGAAAACCGAUAGGAAAACAUGAAUUUCCAUUUGUCCGUCUCGAGGCGACUUUGCUUUGACGGCUUCGGUCUGCGUGUGAUUAUGGCUCAAAAAUGACCAAUGCAUCGUCUUGGUACUUCUGUUUUGACGCUUAUUAUACUACCUCUCGCGUUUUCCUGUGAAAGUGGCCGCAAUAAAAACCAGAUCACCGAGGAUUACCGCAAUAUCAUUAGGAUACAGCUGAAGCACGUUCAGGAUAUUAUUGAACAACUGAAUUCGAACUGCACAGUAAGAAAUGUCAGCAUGUCGAAGGAGCCAAAAAAUACACAGUCCAUCCUCAGAAAAAUCUGCAAGGUUAACGGAAAACUGAGUAAAAUCGGGAGAGAACUGGAGAAUGUAAAUGGACAACUGAAAGAUGCAUUAUAUAGACUUGUGGGAGAAAUAAAUGAGUCCUUGAGAUGUUGGUGCUAUGGAAAGAGAGAGGGGACAAAAAAGCCAACACAGCAAAUACGAAAGUGGAAACUUUGCAGAGUGAAAGACAUUCUUGCUAACUUACAGAGACACUUUGAACAAUACAAUGCGUAUCUGUCACUCGGCACAGACCUUCCAGAGCGUGGGAAGACUUCAGAGCAAACCGGUAUAUAAUGUUUGGCCUCCAUCCAUCUUGUAGCUCUAUUAUAACAAAUGAAUGUACAGAAUAUGAAGAACUGGACAAACCAUGUGCCAUUCACACUAUUCAGUAUUUGAAUGAAACUAAACUUUAAUGGAAAAUAUGUGCUAAACGUAAGCAUGCUUUGUACUUGGGAUAAUUAUCUUUGAGCACGGAGGGUGAUGCAACUUACAAAUGAAACUGAUAUUAUAUUAAUUCUCUAGCCCUCAAGUUACAAUUUUUUUUGGAAGUGACCCUAUCUAAGUCUUACAUGUUUUCUUAAAGCCUUACAUUUUAGAUUAAAAUUAAACAGAACGUGUUCCAACUCUAGGAAACUCGGUUAAUACUUUUUAUAUGAUGUUCUUUCUUUUAAAUCCUCAUUUCAGUUUAUAAUGAUUAAAAUUUCGCUUCUGAAAUAUUUAACAGUACAUGCCAAGAAAAUUCUUGCCUUUUUAAUUUACUGUCCUUAAGAUUUUUAUUUUUUUAAAUAACCAGUAUUUAUUUAAACUGCAUUUUUAUGCAACAGCUACACUGAUUUACAGAAAUUUGAAAACAAGCUUAUAUGUCACUUUCUAUGGUACGUUAACUAAGGGUCACUUCCCUUGUAUAAAGAACUAUCUUGUUAACUUUUCACAAUAUUCACUUCAUAUAUGUUUUGAUAUAUAACAGUAUAACAGAUUUAGUUUUUUUACAUAAUGUUUAACAUUAAUGGACAUUUUUAAAAAUACUUUUGUAUUGCUAUGUAACAUCAAAUUACCACUUUUUUUUUCUUCGUAAGUUCAUGCCAGUAGUAGCAAGGAAAACAAUGGGUUUGUAAAGAGAAACUGAAAUAUGAAACAAAACCAUGUAAAAAAAAAAAACAACAACUCUCAACUAGGGCUGUCAGUCAAUGAAAAAUGAUAAUUAAUGCUUAUAUAACGAAUAACUACAUAUGUUGCAUAUCAAUAUUUGUUGACAAAAGCACCUAAAUAAAUUAAUCACAUCAUUGUGACUAAAUCACCGUUUAGGCAUUAAAACACUGGGUCAGCAAUUACAAUAAAUGCUUAUUUCUUUUUAAAUAAACAGGUAACUGUACUAAAUUAAUGUGUUAAUUGGCAGCCCUAAAUAAACAGGACACAACUUGAUUCAUGUUUUCCACUUUAUUUAUAUAGGAUGAAUUUAACCAAUUUUAACCACUGUAUUCUUUAAUGGCAAAAUUGGUCAUAAUCCCAAAAGCAGGUAUUCAUAAGCUAUAUUUACUGCCAGAACAGCAGUAAUACAAGAAUAACAAGGUGCAGAGUGAUGCUUAAAACGUAUAUGAGCUCCUCGACCUCUCUCACCCUGGACCAGCAGUGAUCAAACUUAAAGGCUCAAAAGCAAUUAAAUACCAUUGUAAAGCUACUUUUUGUAAGGUUUGUAAUAUGGUGGACGCUCUUGAAGGAUGUGACAUGACAUUGCAGACACCUUUAAGUUUUGUAUGUUGUGUUAAUGUGUAAAUAUGAUCAACCAAGGCUGAACAGAUGUGACGGAUUGCAUGUCUAAUAAAUAUACGACGCCAACUUCUACAA